GGUUAAGCGACUAAGCGUACACGGUGGAUGCCCUGGCAGUCAGAGGCGAUGAAGGGCGUGCUAAUCUGCGAUAAGCGCCGGUAAGGUGAUAUGAACCGUUAUAACCGGCGAUACCCGAAUGGGGAAACCCAGUGUGACUCGUCACACUAUCAUUAACUGAAUCCAUAGGUUAAUGAGGCGAACCGGGGGAACUGAAACAUCUAAGUACCCCGAGGAAAAGAAAUCAACCGAGAUUCCCCCAGUAGCGGCGAGCGAACGGGGAGGAGCCCAGAGCCUGAAUCAGCAUGUGUGUUAGUGGAAGCGUCUGGAAAGGCGCGCGAUACAGGGUGACAGUCCCGUACACAAAAGCGCAUGUGCUGUGAGCUCGAUGAGUAGGGCGGGACACGUGGUAUCCUGUCUGAAUAUGGGGGGACCAUCCUCCAAGGCUAAAUACUCCUGACUGACCGAUAGUGAACCAGUACCGUGAGGGAAAGGCGAAAAGAACCCCGGCGAGGGGAGUGAAAAAGAACCUGAAACCGUGUACGUACAAGCAGUGGGAGCCCCACCACUAAGCCAGUGGUGAACUCCACAUACGCAUCCUUUGCUGAGGAUACGGUUAACGGAGCGAAAGCGACGUUCAACCGCAAAAGAAGCAGAGGGGGCUUAGUGGUGGGGUGACUGCGUACCUUUUGUAUAAUGGGUCAGCGACUUAUAUUCUGUAGCAAGGUUAACCG
rnacentral:rRNA from 2 species